UCCUCGGUAGUAUAGUGGUCAGUAUCCCCGCCUGUCACGCGGGAGACCGGGGUUCGAUUUCUCGCCGGGGAG
rnacentral:tRNA from 1 species